UACGGGGGGGGCAAGCGUUGUUCGGAAUUACUGGGCGUAAAGGGCGCGUAGGCGGUUCGCUAAGUUGGAUGUGAAAACUCUGGGCUCAACCCAGAGCCUGCAUCCAAAACUGGCGGGCUAGAGUUCUGGAGGGGGUAGCGGAAUUCUCGGUGUAGAGGUGAAAUUCGUAGAUAUCGAGAGGAACACCGGUGGCGAAGGCGGCCUUCUGGACAGUGACUGACGCUGAGACGCGAAAGCGUGGGGAGCAAACAGG
rnacentral:rRNA from 1 species